rnacentral:lncRNA from 1 species
CGAAUUUCCUUUCAUCCCUCUAUUGUCAUGUUUCUAUUUCCAGAUGAUCUACACUCAAGUGCCAAUAAGAAAUGUAACUGUAUGCUCUCUACUGAGUAACGAUGUCUGAUAGGAAGGGACAGGAGACCCAUAGAGCUGUGACAUCCCUGGCCUUAGUACCUUCAUUCACUCAGCAGCAGAGCCACCAAGUUGGGCAACGAAAUCAAGAUCUUGGACAAGAAAGGGUAAGUCCAAGAGCUGCUAAAUUAAAUGGGCUUUUGGAAAUUGAUGGGGGUGGGGGGG